rnacentral:sRNA from 1 species
AAAUAAUAAAUAUAUCAUUAACUUAUAAAUUAGAAGUUGAAGAACUUACAUUAAUUACUUAGUAGACACAUGGCAAAUGCUAAAGUGAUGAUGUGUUAAUCAUUUGGUGAGAGUUGGCCAACUUUCAUAUAUAUGAUUAGUAAUGUUU